ACCCGCAACCUUGGAGUAUUGGGACAAUGGUCUAACCAGCCGAGCUACCCAGCCUGGGCUGUUGAGUUUUCUUGAAACUAGUUACAGAUUGGUGCUCUCCAGUCUCUGGGUGAGACUAAGAAGAGAGAGAGAUGGUGGAUGGGAGGUGACUUCUGGCCAAGCAGAGGCUGCGGAGGAGUCAGCAGAAAGUGAUUACUCCUGAUUCUGGAAAGUCUGUGACUGCUCCUGCUGGCAGUGCGCUCUCUCUGUGGAAGUCCACGGUGGUUGGAUUGCCAAUGACCAGAAGUCAGGGCCAGGAGAGAAAUGUUGAGGGGUUUCUCCAAUGGAUUCAUAAAAGGCUCCAAAAGAAAAUGCUUAAAAGCUUAAACUCUUGCUGAUGACUCAGAUGGGAUUUUUCUACCUACACCAAAGCCAGAGGAUGCUAGCCAGCACCUUCUUCCCUGAUCUGCAAGAACUUCCCUCAAGUUCCAGAUGGGCUGGAUUUGUGUUCCCACACUCUGGUGCAUUCACGAUCCCCCUGAGGAGCUGGGGGUGGAAAGGCCUCUGCUUGCUGAGACAUGGAAUUGAAACAGCUCGUAUUAGUCAAGGUCUGACGUCCCAGAAGUGAGCAGUCAUUCACCAGCCCCCAUCUCUGGGCCUGCCUGGUCUUCCGUGCUGCCACUACACUCACAGUUCCGCCCGACUGGACCCGUCCCUCAGGGAGCCUGCGGUUCCCACAGGCCCACAGGUGCCGCCGGUUUGCACAGACCUGGCUUCCGAGUUCUCCCAACUGCUUCUUCCCUCCUCCAGGGCCUCCUUCUCCAUCAACCCAGUUAACAAACAUCCGUGGAUACCCAGGUGGCCUUUGCACAGCACUGGGGUUUUAGGAACAGCAAGGAGCUUCGAUGUCAUCACCACCUAUCUUCAAUGUCAGACCUUAAAAUACCGUGUCCAGCUAUUCUGGUUCUGUGGAAGGCAGAGAAGAAAGUUUCCAAUUAGAAAUCUUGUUUUCGAAGUUGCAUAAUUUGCCUGGUGCCCAGGUUCAUGUGCUCUGCUAACCCUGAGAUAUUGGCUGAAGGCAUCUGAUACACAGCUCAACAUUCUGGUUUGGAGAGAGCAUCUGGAAGAACCCAAGGACUCUUAGGUGGAGGCUGUGGAGAAGCAUGUGGCACUGAGGGACUUGGAAGAAGUCACUCCCUUGCAUCCGUCUUCGCUACAGAUAAGAAGAGACUAAUUACCACUCUAUGAGGGCCUGCAAGAUAUUUAAAAGAUGUCUUCAUCUUAAGAAAAGUGGAAGCCACUGCUUUACAGCCUCCUCAUGAGCAAAGGCUGAAGGGCAAACAAAGAUAUCAGACAUAAUUAUGUCAUGAUGAUUCGACACAAAUCCACACACUGAAUGAAUGGCUUAUAUUAC